GGUGAUGUCACGUGAAUCUAGUUCCGUUGCCGCUGUUUCAAGCCUCUUUUUCCAUUUCCUUUUGUUUGUGAACCCUAACCCCUCUUUGAGAGAGACAAACAGAGAAGGCAAUGCAGGUAGCCGACUGACUCCUGAGGUUCUCAGGCAUUCCCUCCCUUCCAAGAUCUUCUAGCCACCUUCAGAGUCGUCUCUCUCCAGAGGAUCCAAAUGGGUUCUUUAGUCCGAUCUCAAAAAUGCCUCUUCUGUCUCCCGCAAAGCAUUGAACCCUCUUCGGGCUUACGUUUCUCUCCCUCAGGUCACAUUUGGCCCCAAAAGGUGGCAGUUGCCUAAUAUAGAUAGCUCUGUUUUAGCGUCCACUGCCAAUGAAUUACGCCGUGACAAAUACACACCUGUUAAUCCUGAGAAGUUGAAGGCUGCAGCUGUAGGGCUAUCACAAAUGCCGCCUUGAUGGUUGGACAGGCAGCGUCCAAACUAGAGCUGCACAAUGUAAGCAAGUAGUUCGCCUGUAAAGAGCAUCGUGAAACUGUAAUUUGCAAUCUUUGGCAACAAAUCUAGACAUGGAGGCCAUAGAAGAUUGGAUGGAAAGGGAAAGACAAAGAAUCGAUGGAGGGGGUUUGCAAUCUCGAGGCUGCAAUUUGAAAUCUUUGCAAUUAAUUCCUUUUUUUGAUUUAUUUGAUUUGUUUGGAAAUCUGGGUAUGAUAUUUGGUUUGAAAUCUGGAUUUCUAAGAUGCACUGCAAGUGCUUGUGAAAAUGUUUGAUUGAAUAUAGUUGUUUCACUUUUGUUAACAA